ACAAAACCCUAGCCAUUGUCUAACCUGUCCCUAUUCAGCCGCUCCAAGCCUCCACCCGAUGGAGACUCUGAGGACGGAAAAAAUGGAGAAAAACUGGGAGAAUACAUCGGAAAAAUCAACGAGAACGAAGGAAAGACGGAAGAAAUCAAAAGAUUGUAGGUAUCAUAGUUAAAGAUGGUGCUAGUCUGUGAAACUUAACGAGAGAUAGAAUAAUGAUUCAGAAUCACAAGGGGAACAUCAAGAGAGGUCCUCAAACUCAUCGUCAAAAGAAUUGGGUAGGCCACCAAUGCAACUUGAGGCAUUUGAGCAGACCUACAAACAAAAGAGAAGCUCGAGUGAAUUUGUGAACAACAAAUCUAAAAGUAUUUCGAUAAGUUUACUUAUUCUACUUAACAAUAAAUUUAUUAUUUAUCAAUAUAUUGUAAGAAGUAUUAAGUUAAUAUAUUACUAAUGGUUUUAGGAAGAAUUUUCUACUACUU